rnacentral:tRNA from 1 species
GCUUUCAUAGCUCAGUAGGUAGAGUACAUCCGUGGUAAGGAUGAGGUCACCGGUUCGAUCCCGGUUGAAAGCUCCA